UCACACACAUGCUGGGAUCCACAAAUGUGUCAUAAGCCCACCGGUUGGUGCAGAACAGCAGCAGCUGAAGGCGAUUUAACACAGGGGGUCAUGAGGAAAUGCUGCCAUUGUUCCGAAAGUACUCUGGACGGGGACAUGAGAAGACAAACAAACAGAUAGGUCUUGCACGUACGGACGAAGGAAAUGCAGAACACGUCUGGGUGAAUUCCUCUACGCUGAGAACAUAACUGCAGAGGGAACCUGUGGUCAUCGGAGGAGGGGGCAGGCGCUCUAGUCAAGGCUUCUGAGCAACUGGCAAGGUGUCUGGACGCUGAGUCCACCCCACGGAUGUUCGGACGGGAAGCCGAGACUCAGGAUGGCUCACGGUUGGCCUGAGGGCCCGAGAGUGAACAAGAGAGUCAGAAUCGGAAGUCAGGCUCCCUCCGUGUGUCUAGCUGCUCGUAUAAUUUUACAGAAUUGAAAGUGGAGGG